UGCGGAGGGAGCUAGCGUUGUUCGGAAUUACUGGGCGUAAAGCGCACGUAGGCGGCUACUCAAGUCGGGGGUGAAAGCCCGGGGCUCAACCCCGGAACAGCCCUCGAAACUAGGUAGCUAGAAUCUUGGAGAGGUCAGUGGAAUUCCGAGUGUAGAGGUGAAAUUCGUAGAUAUUCGGAAGAACACCAGUGGCGAAGGCGACUGACUGGACAAGUAUUGACGCUGAGGUGCGAAAGCGUGGGGAGCAAACAGG
rnacentral:rRNA from 1 species